GAUGAAGAAAAGAAUGACAGUACAGGGGUCAGACAAAAGGCAGAGCAGAAAAAACAUAAAGACUUCUGCUUCAGCCACUCAGCCAAUCACUAGAGAAACUCUCCCUGGAUACCAAAGAGCCUCUCCAUGGCAAUGACACUGUGAAACAUCCAUCACAGGAGACCUGGGCAUCAUGGAUUCAGAGGCAGAUGACUAUUUUAGUGCGUACGACAGACAUCACACAACAUAAGAAAAUCAAUUCACACCAUGGACCAUAUACUAUGCAGAGUUAACGUGGAGAGAAGGCAAUAGGUUGCUGCCACUAGCACUUGUGGCCCACUUUCUGUGUGAAGUGAAGAAGUGGCCUACAUACAAGGAGAUUCUGACAAACUUUACAAAGCUGUCGGCACAAAAAGCUCUGGCCUAAUUUCUCACCCGUCACUGAAUUCAG